GGUAGUGUGGCCGGGGUGGUCUAAGGCUGGAUUAAGCCUCAGUCUCUCAGGAGGCGUGGGUUCAAAUCCACCACUGCCA
rnacentral:tRNA from 1 species